AGAGUUUGAUCAUGGCUCAGAACGAACGCUGGCGGCGUGGAUAAGACAUGCAAGUCGGACGAGAUUUUUCGCUGUAGCAAUACGGUGGAAAGUCUAGUGGCGAACGGGUGCUUAACACGUGGGCAACCUGCCGAGAAGUGGGGGAUAGCUCGCCGAAAGGCGAAUUAAUACCGCAUGUGAUUAGAGAGGACAUCCUUUCGAAAUUAAAGUCGGGGCAACCUGACGCUUUUUGUGGGGCCCGCGGCCUAUCAGCUAGUUGGUGAGGUAACGGCCCACCAAGGCUUUGACGGGUAGCUGGUCUGAGAGGACGACCAGCCACACUGGGACUGAGACACGGCCCAGACACCUACGGGUGGCAGCAGUCGAGAAUUUUUGACAAUGGGGGAAACCCUGAUCGAGCGACGCCGCGUGGAGGAUGAAGGUCUUCGGAUUGUAAACUUCUGUCAUUGGGGAACAAGGUGCAUACGUUAACUGCGUGUGCAUUGAUAGUACUCGAAGAGGAAGAGACGGCUAACUCUGUGCCAGCAGCCGCGGUAAUACAGAGGUCUCAAGCGUUGUUCGGAUUCAUUGGGCGUAAAGGGUGCGUAGGCGGCGCGGUAAGUCGGGUGUGAAAUCUUGGAGCUUAACUCCGAAACUGCAUUCGAUACUGCCGUGCUUGAGGACUGGAGAGGAGACUGGAAUUUACGGUGUAGCGGUGAAAUGCGUAGAUAUCGUAAGGAAGACCAGUGGCGAAGGCGGGUCUCUGGACAGUUCCUGACGCUGAGGCACGAAGGCCAGGGGAGCAAACAGGAUUAGAUACCCUAGUAGUCC
rnacentral:rRNA from 1 species